AUGAGGCCCUCGGUGAUGAGAUCCGCCGCCCAGCUCCUCCGCCGCCGCAACUACUCCUCCGCGUCCGGGCAGCAGGCGCGAAAGGUGGCCAUCCUCGGCGCGGCCGGCGGCAUCGGGCAGCCGCUGUCUCUCCUCAUGAAGCUGAACCCCCUCGUCUCCUCCCUCUCCCUCUACGAUAUCGCGGCCACCCCGGGCGUCGCUGCCGACGUUUCCCACAUCAACUCCCCUGCCCUGGUCAAGGGCUUCAUGGCGGACGAUCAGCUCGCGGAGGCGUUGGAUGGGGCCGACCUCGUGAUCAUCCCGGCCGGUGUCCCGAGGAAGCCCGGCAUGACCAGGGACGACCUCUUCAACAUUAACGCCGGCAUCGUUAAGAACCUCUGCACCGCCAUCGCCAAGUACUGCCCGAAUGCUCUUGUCAACAUGAUCAGCAACCCUGUGAAUUCAACCGUACCGAUUGCUGCUGAAGUUUUCAAGAAGGCUGGAACCUAUGAUGAGAAGAGAUUGUUUGGUGUGACCACUCUUGAUGUUGUUCGUGCCAGGACUUUCUAUGCUGGGAAGGCUAAUGUAGAUGUUAAUACUGUGGACGUUCCUGUUGUUGGUGGUCAUGCUGGUAUUACCAUCUUGCCACUGUUCUCACAGGCAACUCCUUCAACUAAUGCAUUGUCUGCUGAAGAAAUCAAGGCUCUCACCAAGAGGACACAGGAGGGUGGCACAGAAGUCGUUGAGGCAAAGGCUGGAAAGGGAUCUGCAACCUUGUCCAUGGCGUAUGCUGGUGCAGUUUUUGGAGAUGCAUGCUUGAAGGGUCUGAACGGAGUUCCUGACAUUGUUGAAUGCUCCUACGUGCAAUCAACUGUGACCGAGCUGCCAUUCUUUGCUUCCAAGGUGAGGCUUGGGAAGAAUGGAGUCGAGGAAGUGCUCGGGUUGGGUCAGCUGACGCAGUUUGAGAAGGAAGGGUUGGAAGCUCUCAAGGGUGAGCUCAAAUCUUCAAUUGAGAAGGGUGUCGCGUUCGCGAAUGCAAGUUAG
rnacentral:rRNA from 1 species